AUGAACACAACACUUUUCUUCUUGCUACUUAACUCUUGCCAUUUUACUUUACAAAUGUUUGUUCAGUCCAUUAAUCAUUUCUUGUAGCACUUCCUUCAACUUUAGUCAUGACAUUUCUAGAUUCUGGCAAACCAUGUUUCCUUAAUGAUUCAUAACUCCACCCACACUCUUCCUUUCAACAUUAAAUGACAUCAGAUUCUACUCACUACCACAUCCCUCUUUCCAGUGACCAUGAUUCAGCCAGAAUGGAUUGCUGUAUGGUGAAACAGAGGCACAGGAAGGGGAAAUUACUUAAUCAAGAUCUCCCAGGAUAUCAGUGGCAGAACCAAGAAAUCAACCCAGGUCUUCUGAGUCCCAGUCCAGUGCCUUAUCCCUUGGGCAACACUG